GGGUUGUGAGGUUAAGCGACUAAGCGUACACGGUGGAUGCCCUGGCAGUCAGAGGCGAUGAAGGGCGUGCUAAUCUGCGAUAAGCGCCGGUAAGGUGAUAUGAACCGUUAUAACCGGCGAUACCCGAAUGGGGAAACCCAGUGUGACUCGUCACACUAUCAUUAACUGAAUCCAUAGGUUAAUGAGGCGAACCGGGGGAACUGAAACAUCUAAGUACCCCGAGGAAAAGAAAUCAACCGAGAUUCCCCCAGUAGCGGCGAGCGAACGGGGAGGAGCCCAGAGCCUGAAUCAGCAUGUGUGUUAGUGGAAGCGUCUGGAAAGGCGCGCGAUACAGGGUGACAGCCCCGUACACAAAAGCGCAUGUGCUGUGAGCUCGAUGAGUAGGGCGGGACACGUGGUAUCCUGUCUGAAUAUGGGGGGACCAUCCUCCAAGGCUAAAUACUCCUGACUGACCGAUAGUGAACCAGUACCGUGAGGGAAAGGCGAAAAGAACCCCGGCGAGGGGAGUGAAAAAGAACCUGAAACCGUGUACGUACAAGCAGUGGGAGCACCCUUUGGGGUGUGACUGCGUACCUUUUGUAUAAUGGGUCAGCGACUUAUAUUCUGUAGCAAGGUUAACCGUAUAGGGGAGCCGGAGGGAAACCGAGUCUUAAUUGGGCGUUAAGUUGCAGGGUAUAGACCCGAAACCCGGUGAUCUAGCCAUGGGCAGGUUGAAGGUUGGGUAACACUAACUGGAGGACCGAACCGACUAAUGUUGAAAAAUUAGCGGAUGACCUGUGGCUGGGGGUGAAAGGCCAAUCAAACCGGGAGAUAGCUGGUUCUCCCCGAAAGCUAUUUAGGUAGCGCCUCGUGAAUUCAUCUCCGGGGGUAGAGCACUGUUUCGGCUAGGGGGCCAUCCCGGCUUACCAACCCGAUGCAAACUGCGAAUACCGGAGAAUGUUAUCACGGGAGACACACGGCGGGUGCUAACGUCCGUCGUGAAGAGGGAAACAACCCAGACCGCCAGCUAAGGUCCCAAAGUCAUGGUUAAGUGGGAAACGAUGUGGGAAGGCCCAGACAGCCAGGAUGUUGGCUUAGAAGCAGCCAUCAUUUAAAGAAAGCGUAAUAGCUCACUGGUCGAGUCGGCCUGCGCGGAAGAUGUAACGGGGCUAAACCAUGCACCGAAGCUGCGGCAGCGAACGUAUCACUUAAAGCGAUUCAGCGGGUUACGAUUGACGGAGCGAAGCGACGUCAAAGCGUAUACAAAGUCGAGUCGGUUUAAGGAUACGUUCGUUGGGUAGGGGAGCGUUCUGUAAGCCUGUGAAGGUGGCCUGUGAGGGUUGCUGGAGGUAUCAGAAGUGCGAAUGCUGACAUAAGUAACGAUAAAGCGGGUGAAAAGCCCGCUCGCCGGAAGACCAAGGGUUCCUGUCCAACGUUAAUCGGGGCAGGGUGAGUCGACCCCUAAGGCGAGGCCGAAAGGCGUAGUCGAUGGGAAACGGGUUAAUAUUCCCGUACUUGGUGUUACUGCGAAGGGGGGACGGAGAAGGCUAUGUUGGCCGGGCGACGGUUGUCCCGGUUUAAGCGUGUAGGUGUGUGUUCCAGGUAAAUCCGGUUCACUUUAACACUGAGGCGUGAUGACGAGGCACUACGGUGCUGAAGCAACAAAUGCCCUGCUUCCAGGAAAAGCCUCUAAGCAUCAGGUAACAUCAAAUCGUACCCCAAACCGACACAGGUGGUCAGGUAGAGAAUACCAAGGCGCUUGAGAGAACUCGGGUGAAGGAACUAGGCAAAAUGGUGCCGUAACUUCGGGAGAAGGCACGCUGACACGUAGGUGAAGUGAUUUACUCAUGGAGCUGAAGUCAGUCGAAGAUACCAGCUGGCUGCAACUGUUUAUUAAAAACACAGCACUGUGCAAACACGAAAGUGGACGUAUACGGUGUGACGCCUGCCCGGUGCCGGAAGGUUAAUUGAUGGGGUCAGCGCAAGCGAAGCUCCUGAUCGAAGCCCCGGUAAACGGCGGCCGUAACUAUAACGGUCCUAAGGUAGCGAAAUUCCUUGUCGGGUAAGUUCCGACCUGCACGAAUGGCGUAAUGAUGGCCAGGCUGUCUCCACCCGAGACUCAGUGAAAUUGAACUCGCUGUGAAGAUGCAGUGUACCCGCGGCAAGACGGAAAGACCCCGUGAACCUUUACUAUAGCUUGACACUGAACAUUGAGCCUUGAUGUGUAGGAUAGGUGGGAGGCUUUGAAGCGUGGACGCCAGUCUGCGUGGAGCCGGCCUUGAAAUACCACCCUUUAAUGUUUGAUGUUCUAACGUGGACCCGUGAUCCGGGUUGCGGACAGUGUCUGGUGGGUAGUUUGACUGGGGCGGUCUCCUCCUAAAGAGUAACGGAGGAGCACGAAGGUUGGCUAAUCCUGGUCGGACAUCAGGAGGUUAGUGCAAUGGCAUAAGCCAGCUUGACUGCGAGCGUGACGGCGCGAGCAGGUGCGAAAGCAGGUCAUAGUGAUCCGGUGGUUCUGAAUGGAAGGGCCAUCGCUCAACGGAUAAAAGGUACUCCGGGGAUAACAGGCUGAUACCGCCCAAGAGUUCAUAUCGACGGCGGUGUUUGGCACCUCGAUGUCGGCUCAUCACAUCCUGGGGCUGAAGUAGGUCCCAAGGGUAUGGCUGUUCGCCAUUUAAAGUGGUACGCGAGCUGGGUUUAGAACGUCGUGAGACAGUUCGGUCCCUAUCUGCCGUGGGCGCUGGAGAACUGAGGGGGGCUGCUCCUAGUACGAGAGGACCGGAGUGGACGCAUCACUGGUGUUCGGGUUGUCAUGCCAAUGGCACUGCCCGGUAGCUAAAUGCGGAAGAGAUAAGUGCUGAAAGCAUCUAAGCACGAAACUUGCCCCGAGAUGAGUUCUCCCUGAGACUUAGAGUCUCCUGAAGGAACGUUGAAGACGACGACGUUGAUAGGCCGGGUGUGUAAGCGCAGCGAUGCGUUGAGCUAACCGGUACUAAUGAACCGUGAGGCUUAACCUUACAACGCCGAAG
rnacentral:rRNA from 1 species